AACCCCUUCCACCAAUCUUCUUUUCUUGUCCUUCUUCUUCUUUGUCUUCCACUUCCCUCAGCUUUUCUUCCUCGCUCCCUCAGCAGCCCCUCAGGUGUCCUGUUCUUGGUGCUGGCUUUGCUGGGCUUUCUGUUGCUUGGCAUUUGUUGCAGCACGGCUCCAGGGAUUUGCCUUUGUUAGUUGACAUAUAUGAUGAA